rnacentral:rRNA from 1 species
CCUACGGGAGGCAGCAGUGAGGAAUAUUGGUCAAUGGUCGGGAGACUGAACCAGCCAAGCCGCGUGAGGGAUGAAGGUACAGAGUAUCGUAAACCUCUUUUGUCAGGGAACAAAGGCGGGGACGCGUCCCCGGAUGAGUGUACCUGAAGAAAAAGCAUCGGCUAACUCCGUGCCAGCAGCCGCGGUAAUACGGAGGAUGCGAGCGUUAUCCGGAUUUAGUGGGUUUAAAGGGGGCGCAGGCGGUCUGUUAAGUCCGCGGUCAAAGCCUGGGGCUCAAACCCGGCCCGCCGUUGAAACUGGCAGUCUCGAGUUGGAGAGAAGUAUGCGGAAUGCGCGGUGUAGCGGUGAAAUGCAUAGAUAUCGCGCAGAACUCCGAUUGCGAAGGCAGCAUGCCGGCUCCACACUGACGCUGAGGCACGAAAGCGUGGGUAGCAAACAGGAUUAGAUACCCCAGUAGUC